UACGAAGGGGGCUAGCGUUGCUCGGAAUCACUGGGCGUAAAGCGCACGUAGGCGGAUUGCUAAGUCAGGGGUGAAAUCCUGGAGCUCAACUCCAGAACUGCCUUUGAUACUGGCGAUCUCGAGUUCGGGAGAGGUGAGUGGAACUGCGAGUGUAGAGGUGAAAUUCGUAGAUAUUCGCAAGAACACCAGUGGCGAAGGCGGCUCACUGGCCCGGUACUGACGCUGAGGCACGAAAGCGUGGGGAGCAAACAGG
rnacentral:rRNA from 1 species